AACUCUGGUGCUCAACGCUUGGUUGGAACCACACCAAUCCAUCCCGAACUUGGUGGUGAAAUAACCGAGAGGAAAACAGGCCCUGCAAGGGGUACUUUGUGGAACCUUUUUCCUAGCGCCAGGGUG
rnacentral:rRNA from 1 species